GCGGGGAGCGAACAGGAUUAGAUACCCUGGUAGUCCGCGCCGUAAACGAUGGGCGCUAGUUGUGGGGACCUUCCACGGUUUCUGCGACGCAGCUAACGCAUUAAGCGCCCCGCCUGGGGAGUACGAUCGCAAGAUUAAAACUCAAAGGAAUUGACGGGGACCCGCACAAGCAGCGGAGCAUGCGGCUUAAUUCGACGCAACGCGAAGAACCUUACCAAGGCUUGACAUAUAGCGAAAAGCGGCAGAGAUGUCGUGUCCGCAAGGGCGCUAUACAGGUGGUGCAUGGUUGUCGUCAGCUCGUGUCGUGAGAUGUUGGGUUAAGUCCCGCAACGAGCGCAACCCUCGUUCUGUGUUGCCAGCAUUUAGUUGGGGACUCACAGGAGACUGCCGUGGUUAACACGGAGGAAGGUGGGGAUGACGUCAAAUCAUCAUGCCCCUUAUGUCUUGGGCUGCACGCAUGCUACAAUGGCCGAUACAAAGGGCUGCAAUACCGUGAGGUGGAGCGAAUCCCAUAAAGUCGGUCUCAGUUCGGAUUGAGGUCUGCAACUCGACCUCAUGAAGUCGGAGUUGCUAGUAAUCGUAGAUCAGCAACGCUACGGUGAAUACGUUCCCGGGUCUUGUACACACCGCCCGUCACGUCAC
rnacentral:rRNA from 1 species